ACGUGAUUGUCAAAUUUUGUGUCAAUAUGACAAAGCGUAUAGGCGUGAAUCUCAACAAUAUGUAUUUUCACCUUAGGGGACAAGAAAAAAUGGACUUUUUUCUCCUGCCAUGGGGGGGCACUCUUUUGGGGAGUAAAAAUUCCUUCACAAAUGUGUUGAUGGCUGGACAUUGCAUCAUCCUAGAAAACUUGGAGGCCAGUGAGGACAAAAAUAAAAAGUUAUAAGACUUUUAAAUAUGUGGAUUUUAGGGUUAUCUUUGGCGCCCCCUAGAACCUAAACCGUGGGG